CACCUCCGCGUCUCGCCCCUCCGCCGACGCCCCCAACCUCGAUACCGACCGCGUUGCAACCGUCGCCCGCCCAGGCCUCCGCGUCGCCCCGCCGGACGUGCCUCGAGUCCAGCGCACCGCCGGUCCCCUUCCCCGACCGCCGCUGGCUGCCUUCCUCAACCUCCGUCCCGACGCGCCCGCCCCCCGACCGCCCAGGCUUUCCGUGACACCCUGUCGGAGGUGCACCGAGUCCGACGCGCCACUACCCCAUCUCACGGCACACCGCCGGCCGCCUUCCCCGUCUACCGCCGGCCCCCUUCCCCUUCUCCGACCGCUGCUGGCCCUCUUCCCCUUCUCCUUCCCCGACCGCUGGCCCCCUUCCCCGACGCAUCGCCGAUCCGAGGUAGCAUGCCUGAUCCAAAUUCAUCCACCCCUGCACAGUGCUGCCCCUGCCUCGUCCUCUCCCCCAUCGCCGAUUGAGGCCACGCACCCGCGCCCCCACGCCUUGCAGAUAACGUUUGCAAGUUCCACGCUGGGCCGGCCACAGAGAACGACAUUCGCGCCGCCGUCGUGGACAUCUCCGGGAUGAGAAAGGCGAUACGCUGGUGAGCAGGACUCUGUCAUGAUUGCUGCCUAAACAUGUGUAUCUGCUUGCUUCUGCUGGUGUGAAAUUUGCAGGUUGCUACCACGCGCGCUCGCCUUCCACCAUGCCUCUUCCUUUCCUCAUCUGGUCCGUCCCGCGCUCUCUGCUGUCUCUGGUGUGGCGCAAAGAGAACCAGAUCAGGCGUGCAGUAGGUGGCAGCGGCGAUAUGGACCUGGAGAAGGCUGGGCACCGCCUCCAGGGCGUGGAGAUCUCGGACGGCUCGACGUGCAGCACUUCAGUGGAUGCUUCUGCAUCUAAGUAGGAAGAGGUGAAAAAGAAACGCCUGCCUGGUGGUAAAUUCAAGAAAAAAGGUCUCAUUUUGUAGAUCAAUCGAUCAGAAAGCAACAGCCCAAUGAUUUACUACAUUUGGAGGCUUAACAAUUCUGCUUUACAUGGAAUUCAGCCAUGGAAGCUCACUGACAAGAUCAAAAAGGCAUUGUCAAAAAAAAGAUAACAAAGGUGUUCCAUUGUCCUCUGCUUUUUACACAGCUUAAACUCCUGAUACAAAAGAGAACAGAUCACAAGGUUAUCAGCAACAAUUGCGUUGUCUACAUGAAAUCGGCACAAACACUGCCAGAAAACUGCUCAUUCGUCCGCGGAGGUUAGUACCGGGCGCACUUUGGCCCGGUACUAACGUGCAUCUUUAGUACCGGGCCAAAGCCACAGUACCGCCUAGAGCCAUUUAGUACCGGCUGGAGCCACCAGCCGGCACUAAAGUGCGCCACGACAGCCGGGCGCAACGGCUAGGUGGCCACUUAGUACCGGCUGGAGCCACCAGCCGGUACUAAAUGGAGCCGAGCAAAUUAGUACCGGCUGGUGGCUUCAGCCGGUACUAAAUUGCAACUUCUAGUACCGGCUGGAGCCACCCAGUCGGUACUAAUCUGCCCACUGUAAAUCGGCUCGUCUUCUUCCUCCCCGAGCCCGAGCCAACCAUUUGACCGAGUUCGGGCUUUCUUCCCAUUGCGAGUUAGAGAGGUGUUGCCCCAUUUUCUCAAGUUUUGUGGAGAUUUCACUCAUCCAAGUGCACUAAAGGUUUGCAACUUCUUCCUCUCUUAUUUGAUGGUAUUUAUUAUUUGUUUCAUGCUCUGUAGUUUGAGAUAUUUGUGAUUUUUAGAAAUAUAUAGAAUGAGCACGUUUCCUAUAAUUUAUGGAUGGAUUUGAGAUGUAUAGAACCCAUUACUUGAAUUUGGAGAAGGUGUAUUGGAUAGUUUCAAUGUGGAUAAUUUAUAGGGAUUUUUUUCAAUUUUUUUCAAGUGGCAUGGGUGAUUAGUUUGGUAUUGUUAUGAAUUUAGUUGCAUUAUUUUGGCACUCUAAUGAUGUAUUUAUUCGGGCUCAUAUGGAAACUAUCGAGAAGUUUAAAAAAUGUAUGUUUUGGAUCAUGAAUAUGUCGUUAACCUUGAUUUUUCGUUGAAAACACUUCUAUUCGGGGCUAGCAUGCGGUGCGGUAUAUAUGAGGAUGCGAUGAAGAAGUACGGUCUUGGUCCCAAUUAUGAAAUCCGCACCUUUUGAGCGAGUUAAGAAUGAAAUUAUGCGAACCAAGGCCGUACUCCUUCAUCGGCUCUUAUUGUACCGCACUGUGUCGUGGAUGUCAAUAGUAGCCCUGAAUGUUAGUGUUAUCACUGCAGGGUCAAGGUUGACGACAUAGACAUGUUUUGAAACAAACAUUUUUUCUUCUCCAUGGUUUUAGAGAAAGUGAGCCUGAAACAAAGCCGCAAACAUUGAUUGCGCAUCCCUUAUGGCGUGGAGCGACGUAUUCGCGUUGAACUGAAGAGUGUCAAAAUAAUUAUGGUUUACAAUUUAUGUUUUCAUUUUAAUUCUAAUCAUUUGUUCAGAUUUUACAUUUAUUUGAUUAAUGUACUGAAAUUAGUUUUGUUUCUUAAUGAGACAUAUAAUUGACA